GUACUGACCUGGCAUGUACCAUGAUCACAAAGGUGGUUUGCCCAGGGCGAAGUUUACCCACUGCACUCCGGAUGUGCUGACCCCUGCAGUUUCCCCAAAUGCGGGAAAUUCCACUGCAUAAUUUGUGGCAGUGGGGGACUGCACUACUGCUCUCCCCUG